rnacentral:lncRNA from 1 species
CACUGUUUCCCCGUCUUUUCCGCAUACUUUGCUCAUCCUCUAUAUUUCUAGCCGUGGUGCCUCCAUGGUAGUCGAGACCUUGACGUCACCGUUGAUUCUUAUAGUCAUGGAGCACACAGCACUUCCAUGGAGGUCGACCCUCUAUAUGUGGAGUCAUUGCCCUCUUGCCAGCCUUGGGAAGCUCGACGUGGCUUCGAGCCCCGCCAUCAGUAAAGAACGGCGAUGGAGGGCACCUCUGUAGGUGGAUGAUGGCAAGGGCGGCCAAGCCUGCGGCAGCUAACAUGGCCGAGCAAAGGUUGAGAACAAAUGGACUAGCGUGGUAACAGCAGAUCCAUGUCCCCCUCAUGCACGCUGCUCCCCAUGUUGAUUCAACAACCAAAGCCAUCGUGCCCACAAGGCAAAUCAUCGCUACAACAUAUCAUGUGAUACCGUUUGACUAUUCUCACUUCAAA